UGGGCAACCUGCCCUCAGCUCUGGGAUAACUCCAAGAAAUUGGGGCUAAUACCGGAUAUGACCGCUGACCGCAUGGUCUGGUGGUGGAAAGAUUUAUCGGCUGGGGAUGGGCCCGCGGCCUAUCAGCUUGUUGGUGGGGUAGUGGCCUACCAAGGCGACGACGGGUAGCCGGCCUGAGAGGGUGGCCGGCCGCACUGGGACUGAGACACGGCCCAGACCUCCUACGGGGA
rnacentral:rRNA from 1 species